rnacentral:miRNA from 1 species
AAGUCCCACUAAUGCCAGC